rnacentral:rRNA from 1 species
GACGAACGCUGGCGGCGUGCCUAAUACAUGCAAGUCGAGCGAAGAUUUUCUGGUGCUUGCACACGAAAAACUUAGAGGGGAACGGGUGAGUAACACGUUCAGCACCUGCCUCAUAGAUUGGGACGACAAUUGGAAACGAUUGCUAAUACCGGAUAACAGUAUUUUUCGCAUGAGAGAUAUUUAAAAGUUGUUUAUGCUAACAGUGUGAGAUGGCUUUGCGGUGCAUUAGUUAGUUUGUGGGGUAAAGGCCCACCAAGGCGACGAUGCAUAGCCGACCUGAGGGGGUGAUCGACCACACUGGGAGUGAGAGACGACCCAGCGUCCAACAGGAGGCAGAAGUAGAGAAGCUUGCGCAAUGGGCGGAAGCCUGACGGAGCAGAGCCGCGUUAGUGCAGAAGGAUUUCGUUUCGUAUGCCUCUGUUGUUAUUGAAGACUGGCUUCGUGGGAACCAUACAUGUUAGUGACGGUACCUAGCCAAAAAGCCACGGCUAACUACGUG